rnacentral:lncRNA from 1 species
AUGGGAGGAGGUGGUGCUACCUUUGGGAAGACUAUGUCAGCAUCUGCAUACAGUCCCAUCCUGCACAUAUCCUGCUGGUCUCUCUGCUCUGAUCUCAGAAGGCCUCCAACCCCAAUUUACGCAGCAAAGCUCUCCAACACCAGGCAGCCGGGAAGUCUCCAGCUGAAACCUCUCCACAAACUGAUAGGAAGCAGCGAGACCCACAUUGCUUUCAUCAGUCUCAUCCCCAUCCAUAGAGCUAAAGGCUCAGAAAACUUCCAUCCCCCCCUCUACCCUGCACUGUGGUCUCUAUUUUGGGUUCCGGUGUCGCAGCAGCAUUCAUCUUUGUUACACCCAUGGCAUGCCAUCAGCUCACAGGUGAUGAGAAAAAGCAGAUGCAGUUUGCCAUGAGCCAGUUGUUCUCCUGUCUGCACAUCCCAAAAUGAGCUUCAGGAUUUCAAGCAUGCUUCACUGUUCCCAUACAAGGAACCCCUGGAGUCAAAGUGUGCAGUGCAUGAGAUCUGGGCUGGAUGUGACCUUUAGAGUGAAUGCAGCAUGGGGAACAGGAAGAUUCAGCAAAAAAAGAGCAAAUGUCUGAAAAACUGAGAAUUUAAAAGGAAUCUUGUGGUUUUAGCCGAGUUCAAUAUUCUUUUUAGUAUUUUGAGAAGUGAAAAUCUUAGGCAGCUGAACAGAACUUUGCCCAUGGACAAUUCCUGCUUAGAGAAUAAACUUAAAAGAGAAUAAACA